AAAAAUUUAGUUAAUAAAUAACAUUAGCUUGUCAAGCUAAAAUAAAUAUACAAAUAUUAAUUUUUA
rnacentral:tRNA from 1 species